CUGCAGUCGUACCCGAACAGUCGUUCAGCAAGGGAACCCGGUGUGAUUCCGGGACUGGCGCGCAACGGUGACGAGUUCCGGCUCGAAGUCCGAUCGCUUGCUGUCCGGCACCACCCUCGA
rnacentral:ncRNA from 16 species